rnacentral:lncRNA from 1 species
CUGAUAUGCUCAAAGGUCAACCGUCGGCAACCAGCCGACAAUCUUGCCCACAUGGCUCACCGACCGUAUAGGUCAUCAACUGUAAGGAAGCACAAGAACCGACCGCUCAGGUCAACUAGGAUGGAACGACUCUACAUCCUCUCAAAAGUAUGGAAAUACUGCUCGAUGGGUCAACUAAAGUAUAGAUGCAAGAACCAACAAAUAGAUCACAGGAAUGUAUCACUAUAAUCUGGAACUACCGUCAGCCACUAACCGACAAUCCUACCCCUCAGGGUACACCGACCUCAACGGUCAUCGGACAACAGAAGUCAAAGAACCGACCAACCAGGUCACUGAUACGAAGUACAAGAAACCACCAACCAGGUCACCAAUACGAAGUACGAGAAUCGACCAAUCAGGUCACUAAUACGAAGUACAAGAAACCACCAACCAGGUCAUAGGUAUCACAAAUAGAUAGACUACUCUACUCCUACACCUGAUACUAAGCAUGGGAACAUCUGAGUAGAGUGUAACGUAAACAAUAGAGGUGCAAAGCUCAACAUAUAAUAUAUACAUGGAUAAUAACAAAAGAGCAAGGGUAAGAAACCAUCACCGAGCGUGCACCACUGUACCAACGUCGGAUCGAAGUACCCACCUGUAAGGAUGUCGCGCCUAUCUCCUGUCUGCGAAAGAAUGACAACCGGACCUACGGAGGGUCCACCGGGUUAAUAUCUAACCCACAACUAAGAAAUACUAAACACAUAGCCCCACAAAUAAACCCA